GACGAGUCUUGCAAAACUAAAUGAAAAUUAAAUUAAAGUUACUAUGUUUCUUGAUGUAGCUCCACAGUAUUUACACUGUGUUUACUGUGUUUCCUUCUUUCAGAGGUUCUACAUGUUAAGGGACGAGAGGGAAAUGUGGUUAUACUUCGUUGUGGAAAACUCAGUAAAGGUAACGUAAUCUGGAGCAGAGAAAUUAACGGACAGAAAGUCGAUAUUCUGAAUAAUAAUAACGGACAGGUGACCCGAUACUCCGCUGGAUCAGAUGGACGUUACAGUUCUGGAGGAAAUCUAUGGCUGAAUAUAUUCAGAGUCUCACAGUCAGACGCUGGAAGAUACUACUGUAAUGGAGAAACAGUGGAACUGACUCUAAUAGGAAAUGAUGGAUCUACUGCAAGAGCACGUGUCCCUGGCAGGCCAGUUGUACUGAAGAUGGUGGUUGCUAUAAUAGCAGUGAGUUUCCUGGUUGGGAUGGUGUUGGUAUUGGUGCUGUGUUG
rnacentral:lncRNA from 1 species